GUUGCUCACUUGCCGUGAAUCUCUGAUUUAGACAAAUGUCAAUAUUUUCGGCACAAAUCUGAAUUUGUCUACACCCGGAAGCUCCUCCUAUCCUUCAAGCUACUUUGAUUCAGUGGAGUCUCGAGGCUGCAGGCAUGCGGCAACCUCGGUUUCACUUUGUCCAGAGACAGGAGUUAGGCAGCCAUGUAAUUUUUUAUUUGUACAAUACUACACCAGCAUGUAAUAUGUUCAAUUAUUACCCGUACCAUAUAGAAAUACAUAUGGGCAGUAGUCACUAGAUUAAUUUUUAUUGCAAAAUUAUUGAAGAUUUUUAUUAUACAGCAACACAACUAGAACUUCUCAAGGUUUUCAGUAUGCUUGUACUUCCACAUUGAUCUAUUUCUAUAUGGUAUUCGCAACUAUGACACCAUGUGGUGAGAAACUGGUUGUUUGGGCAUCUUCAUGUAUUUCAUGAUUCCAUCUUGCAGGUGCACGUCAACAGCGUGCGUACAGCCGGUGGACGCUUGGGUCCUUCGUCAACGGUGAAUCCCAUAACAAUCUUGAAACAUGAUGGAACCAUAUCCAGUGAUGCACUAUGAAGUAAGUUAUCCGGCCCGCACAAAGACCCGUCAAGCCUGCAAAGGAUGACAGUGUGGACUUGGAUGGAACAAAGAGUUGAUCAAAACCGACACCAUGUAUUCUUAUGGAUGUAUGAGCCAUCUCACUGUAGGUGGACCUUUUCUCGCCAGCACGACUUACUUUAUUUUAUGCUUUGUUGAGUGUAAUCUCCAAUUUCGUUUGCAGGGUGAGAUGCAGACCAAGGACGACCACUUGACGCAGAGGGAUGCAUGGUUGUGUAGCGGCUUCGGUUGCACAUCUCAUGUAACUGCCGGGAUCGCGGAGAAGUGGUGGUGACAACACAUGAGUGACCUAGAUGGUGGCGAUACUUGUGCAUCCGAUCUCAAGCUUCGGGGUGAAGAGCCUAGGUCUGGCCCAAGGUGGUCAUACCUAACAAUGGCAAUGUUUUUUUUUACGUUGUUAUCUUGUUGAAGGCAUUGUUGGAUAUGUUUGGACUAAUUCUUUAGGGUGCAAACCUAGAUUCUUGGCUUGUUGGUUGGAUCUGGUGACAACGGUGCUUGAGCGUCACUCCCUUCUUGAAGGCGUUGUUGUUUAAGAACCUCGUCGUCCAUGUGGCGUCAU